GUGGAAUUAGGACGAUCGGGUAUGCAGUUUGUGGGUUUCUAGGCGCAUUAUUUUCUAUUGUUUAUGAAAAUGCCCCCAGAAAUCCUAAAAAUUGUGUAUCCAAGUCAUCUAAUUAAUUU
rnacentral:precursor_RNA from 10 species